rnacentral:misc_RNA from 1 species
GCCGGGGCCGUACUGGGUCGAAUUAACCAUUACGUUGACUGUCGCAAUUAUUCUGGUCUUGCUGUAAUUAAACAAUGGGCAGAUGUUGCCGUAAAGGCUAGCUGGAAUCGUUUUUUAUUGGUCAACCGUAAUCCAUAUUCCAUGGUAAUUUUCAGUUAAGCACCAGUUUUCCUGUACUUUCCAUCUACAAUAACCACAAUGCAAAGUUUGUAUUGGUUUUAUAUUAAAUAAAUGUAUUAAAGAAAUAAAAACUGAAAAUGCAAAAUUGCAGAAAUGUCAACGCUCCCUAUAAUAUCUUAUGCUAUUGUGAAUUGGGAUCUCACGUAGAUGAUACAAAGCUGUCGUCAUAUAUUUUUUUUACCUUUCUUAAUAUAUCAUAUAUUCUGCUCUUCCAAAUGAUAUAAUAAAACAAUAAUCGACU